AUUGAACGCUGGCGGCAUGCCUUACACAUGCAAGUCGAACGGCAGCAUGAUCUAGCUUGCUAGAUUGAUGGCGAGUGGCGAACGGGUGAGUAAUACAUCGGAACGUGCCCUGUAGUGGGGGAUAACUAGUCGAAAGAUUAGCUAAUACCGCAUACGACCUGAGGGUGAAAGUGGGGGACCGCAAGGCCUCAUGCUAUAGGAGCGGCCGAUGUCUGAUUAGCUAGUUGGUGAGGUAAAGGCUCACCAAGGCGACGAUCAGUAGCUGGUCUGAGAGGACGAUCAGCCACACUGGGACUGAGACACGGCCCAGACUCCUACGGGAGGCAGCAGUGGGGAAUUUUGGACAAUGGGCGAAAGCCUGAUCCAGCAAUGCCGCGUGUGUGGAGAAGGCCUUCGGGUUGUAAAGCACUUUUGUCCGGAAAGAAAUGGCUCUGGUUAAUACCUGGGGUCGAUGACGGUACCGGAAGAAUAAGGACCGGCUAACUACGUG
rnacentral:rRNA from 1 species